GGAGGAUCCGAGCGUUAUCCGGAUUUAUUGGGUUUAAAGGGAGCGUAGGCGGGGUAUUAAGUCAGUUGUGAAAGUUUGCGGCUCAACCGUAAAAUUGCAGUUGAUACUGGUAUCCUUGAGUGCAGCAGAGGUGGGCGGAAUUCGUGGUGUAGCGGUGAAAUGCUUANAUAUCACGAAGAACUCCGAUUGCGAAGGCAGCUCACUGGAGUGUAACUGACGCUGAUGCUCGAAAGUGUGGGUAUCAAACAGGAUUANAUACCCUGGUAGUCCACACAGUAAACGAUGAAUACUCGCUGUUGGCGAUACAAUGUCNNCGGCCAANCNAAAGCAUUAANUAUUCCACCUGGGGAG
rnacentral:rRNA from 1 species